rnacentral:rRNA from 1 species
GUACACGCUGUGACUAGCAUAUCAAUAAGCGGAGGAAAAGAAACUAACAAGGAUUCCCCUAGUAACGGCGAGUGAAGCGGGAAGAGCUCAAAUUUGAAAUCUUAAAGGGUUUCCCUUUACGAAUUGUAGUUUAAAGAAGUGUUUUCUGUUGAGGUUUUGGUAAAAGCUCUUUGGAAUAGGACAUCAUAGAGGGUGAGAAUCCCGUAUUUGACCUUUACUUUCAACUUUGUGAUACACUUUCAAAGAGUCGGAUUGUUUGGGAAUGCAGUCCAAAAUGGGUGGUAAAUUUCAUCUAAAGCUAAAUAUUGGCGAGAGACCGAUAGCGAACAAGUACCGUGAGGGAAAGAUGAAAAGAACUUUGAAAAGAGAGUUAAACAGUACGUGAAAUUGUCAAAAGGGAAGCGUUUGACACCAGUGUUGUUUUUCUGAAAAUCAAUUAAAGAACUGUUUAUGCUAAGUUGUUUAGACUUUAUCAGCUAUCUGUUUAGUUUUGAGCUUUUCUUUAAUGCACUUUUCAGUUAACAAGUCAACAUCAAUUUCUUUUGCUGUAAAAAAGCUUGAGGAAGGUGGCUUGAGAUUCGUCUUAAGUGUUUAUAGCCUCUUGCCUAUGCAGUCGGAGAGAUUGAGGUCUGCAGCGUAGAUCCUUCGGGGCUAAAUGCAUUUGUGCUAAGUUAUAGCAUUUUAUAGACAACUUGUUGACUAUGAUUUGUCUUGUAGCUUACUCGCUUAUGUUAUAUUACCUACGCUUAGGAUGUUGAUAUGCAUGACUGAUAUA